UACGGAGGUGGCAGGCGUUACUCGGAUUGAUUGGGUGUAAAGGGCAUGUAGGUGGUGAGUUAAGUCGAAUGUGAAAUCCCUUGGCUCAACCAAGGAAUUGCAUUCGAAACUGAUUUGCUUGAGCGACGGAGAGGAAAGCGGAAUUCCCGGUGUAACAGUGAAAUGUGUAGAUAUCGGGAGGAACACCAGUGGCGAAGGCGGCUUUCUGGACGUCUGCUGACACUGAAAUGCGAGAGCUAGGGGAGCAAACAGG
rnacentral:rRNA from 1 species